GACGAACGCUGGCGGCGUGCUUAACACAUGCAAGUCGAGCGGUAAGGCCCUUUCGGGGGUACACGAGCGGCGAACGGGUGAGUAACACGUGGGUGACCUGCCUUUAGCUCUGGGAUAAGCCUGGGAAACCGGGUCUAAUACCGGAUAUGACUCCAUGACGCAUGUUGUGGGGUGGAAAGCCUUGUGCGGCUAGGGGAUGGGCCCGCGGCCUAUCAGCUUGUUGGUGGGGUGAUGGCCUACCAAGGCGACGACGGGUAGCCGGCCUGAGAGGGCGACCGGCCACACUGGGACUGAGACACGGCCCAGACUCCUACGGGAGGCAGCAGUGGGGAAUCUUGCGCAAUGGGCGAAAGCCUGACGCAGCGACGCCGCGUGAGGGAUGACGGCCUGG
rnacentral:rRNA from 1 species